CUGGUGCCAGCAGCCGCGGUAAUUCCAGCUCCAAUAGCGUAUAUUAAAGUUGUUGCGGUUAAAAAGCUCGUAGUUGGAUCUCGGGGACAGGCUUGCGGUCCGCCUCGCGGCGGUUUUUUACUGCUCGCUCCUGUACUCCACGAGCUGGUUGGGCGCUGUCGCCGGCCGAUGGGAGGGCUGGCAACGGUUCACCUGUCGGUGUCUCUAGGCGGGCGCUUCCUUUAAGCCCUUGGUGCUCUUCGCUGAGUGUCUCGGGUGGCCAGUGCGUUUACUUUGAAAAAAUUAGAGUGUUCAAAGCAGGCCCAGUCGCCUGCAUAAUGUUGCAUGGAAUGAUGGAAUAGGACCUCGGCUCCCCUAUUUUGUUGGUUUCCGAAGCUCGAGGUAAUGAUUAAGAGGGAUUGCCGGGGGCAUUCGUAUUGCGGUGUUAGAGGUGAAAUUCUUGGAUCACCGCAA
rnacentral:rRNA from 1 species